CCCAGACUCCUACGGGAGGCAGCAGUGGGGAAUAUUGCACAAUGGGGGGAACCCUGAUGCAGCGACGCCGCGUGAGUGAAGAAGUCUUUCGGUAUGUAAAGCUCUCUCAGCAGGGAAGAAAAUGACGGUACCUGACUAAGAAGCCCCGGCUAACUACGUGCCAGCAGCCGCGGUAAUACGUAGGGGGCAAGCGUUAUCCGGAUUUACUGGGUGUAAAGGGAGCGUAGACGGCAGAGCAAGUCUGAAGUGAAAGCCCGCGGCCCAACUGCGGGACUGCUUUGGAAACUGGCAGGCUGGAGUGUCGGAGAGGCAGGCGGAAUUCCUAGUGUAGCGGUGAAAUGCGUAGAUAUUAGGAGGAACACCAGUGGCGAAGGCGGCUUACUGGACGGCAACUGACGCUGAGGCUCGAAAGCGUGGGGAGCAAACAGGAUUAGAUACCCUUGUA
rnacentral:rRNA from 1 species